rnacentral:rRNA from 1 species
GACGAACGCUGGCGGCGUGCCUAAUACAUGCAAGUCGAACGCAGUGGGGACGGUUGAGUAACACGUGGGUAACCUCCCAUCAGAGGGGAUAACACUUGGAAACAGGUGCUAAACCGAUACUGAUGGAUGAACCCGCGGUGCAUUAGAUAGUUGGUGAGGUACCGGAUCACCAAGGCCACGAUGCAUAGCCGACAGGAGAGGGUGAUCGGACACACGGGGACUUAUACACGGCCCAGAAGCCUACGGGAGGAAGCAGUAGGGAAGCUUCGGGAAUGGACGAAAGGCUGACCGAGCAACGCCGGGUGAGUGAAGAAGGUUGUCGGAUCGUAAAACUCUGUUGUUAGAGAAGCGGUAUCUAACCAGAAAGCCACGGCUAACUACGUGCCAGCCGCCGCGGUAAUUC